AUUGAACGCUGGCGGCAGGCCUAACACAUGCAAGUCGAGCGAGCGGCGGACGGGUGAGUAAUGUAUGGGGACUGCCCGAUAGAGGGGGAUAACUACUGGAAACGGUAGCUAAUACCGCAUACUAUCAGAGAACCAAUAUUGGAUUAGCUAGUAGGUGAGGUAAUGGCUCACCUAAGCGACGAGCCAUAGCUGGUCUGAGAGGAGGAUCAGCCACACUGCGACUGAGAUACGGCCCAGACUCCUCCGGAGGCAGGAGUGGGGAAUAGUGCACAAUGGGCGCAAGCCUUAUGCAGCCAUGUCGCGUGUAUGAAGAAGGCCCUAGGGUUGUAAAGUACUUGCAGUCGUGAGGCGUUACCGACAUAAGAAGCACCGGCUAACUCCGUGCCAGCAGCCGCGGUAAUAC
rnacentral:rRNA from 1 species